GGACGAACGCUGGCGGCGUGCUUAACACAUGCAAGUCGAGCGAUGAAGUUUCCUUCGGGAAAUGAAUUAGCGGCGGACGGGUGAGUAACACGUGGGUAACCUGCCUCAUAGAGGGGAAUAGCCUUUCGAAAGGAAGAUUAAUACCGCAUAUGGUAGCUUUACCGCAUGGUAGUGCUAUUAAAGGAGCAAUCCGCUAUGAGAUGGACCCGCGUCGCAUUAGCUAGUUGGUGAGGUAACGGCUCACCAAGGCGACGAUGCGUAGCCGACCUGAGAGGGUGAUCGGCCACAUUGGGACUGAGACACGGCCCAGACUCCUACGGGAGGCAGCAGUGGGGAAUAUUGCACAAUGGGGGAAACCCUGAUGCAGCGACGCCGCGUGGAGGAAGAAGGUCUUCGGAUUGUAAACUCCUGUUGUUGAGGAAGAUAGUGACGGUACCUGACUAAGAAGCUCCGGCUAAAUACGUG
rnacentral:rRNA from 1 species